AGAGGACUUUAUCCAUCUCCUAACAACUGCAGUGGUCUGCUGGACUAAAACAGAGCUGGCAUGAGAGCUCAGUGGUCCAGCCAAGGCUGGGCUCCUCUUGAAAGCUCUCUCAGUGAGACAAUGUUUGGGCAUCAGCAAUGGGCAGAGUGGUGAUUUCCAUCUUAGGAGGAAAGUUGGUUUUGUUUUUGUUUGUUUAAAUGGGGUUUCUAUGUGUAAUGAUGGGAAACUCUGAAAGGAAGAUACUUGAGCAUCCCUAAGAACCUCAACGAUGAUGCAAUUACAAGAGUAAUGCAACAAUUUAUGAACUUUUUUUCAGUGACAGACUUUGUAGGGCCUUUUGCUGUUAGUAGCAUAGUGGUUAAGAGGCCUCUACCUUGGAGAACAGAGCCUGUCUGGACUGAAAAAAAAUUGCAGCCUUGGGAUUCCUGUGGGAUUUGUCUUUCUCUAUGCUUUGGGAAACUGAAUGAGCUGCUUCCUUCGAGCUCUCUGAGAGAAUGUGCACGUGUUAUUAGGCAAUUUGUACCACUGGUUUUAUUUCCAAGAAGAAUGUCCAGCUCCGCUCUUUCCAGUGGUCAGAAGCCAUGAACUGGUCAAAAGGAGCAAGCUGUGCAGUGUCAGCACUGGUUUAUGUGCCACUCAGUACCCACCAAUGCCGUUCUCUCCAGCACCUUCCCAGGCACUUAGCACCCAUAAAGAGUGUUUUCUGAAAUCUGUGAAGCUGCGUGGUAGAGGCUUUGAGUAUCUCCUCCAUUACUACACAGCUCCAGUCUUCUUUCUUACCUGCAUGAAAUCUGCACUAUUUCAUUGAAUUGUUGGAGUUGGAAAGGACCUUUAAAGGUCAGCUGGUCCUACUCCCCUGUAGUAAUCAGGGACAUGUAUUGUGUUGGUGCAGUUACAUCCAUAUAAAGAUCUUUAAUACAGAAAAUAAUAAAUUCUGAUAUAAAGCACGUAUUGUAUUACAUAAACAUAAUUUUGCUUUCUUGAAGUUAUAUAUGAUGGUAAAAACCCGUGCUAUGAUUUUAGAGCUGGAAAGGCUCUGAGCUGGAAGAGGUUCUGGCUGAUGGUGUGCUGAAGUUCACUGCUGCAGUUCCUUUGAUUUUUUUUUUUUCCCCUCCAUCGUUUGUAGUGUUGAAGUUGUAAAAAGUGAUGUAUGUUUUCCCUAACUCUCCAGUGCAGAAGUGUAGGGAAAGGGCAUGACAAAUCUUGCAGUACAGUCUGAGGAUUUAAACACAAGUUGGUGAUUUAAUAGAAGAACGUUCCUGCUCCAGGAACAAGGAUUUUUUCGUAUUGCUUUUAAAAAUUUGAGGAACAUUUCUUUAACUUCAUCCUGUGUUGCAUAGUGUGUUUCCACCUGUGUGCCUCACAACCAAGCAUUUGCACUCUGGGGCUGCAGUGGUAGGGAGGUCACAACUGGAGUGUUGAAUUCUCCACAAUCCAAGGAUUUCCAGGUUUUUUGGUAAGGAAGGUGGGUUUUUUGUUGCUUUCGUUUUGACUUGACUCAGCUCACCUGGAUGUUAUGCCAGUACAUUGUUCUUCCUUUUUUUUCUAUCACAAAUAGUGGAAUUGUAGUGCAGUUAAAAUAAGUUUGCUGUAUCUGAGAAUCAGCUUCUAUAGUGAAAAUGUCAGAUUUUUCAAAAAACGUGUAGCUUAAACAUAAAGGUGUAAUUUCAGGAAACUGAUUGUAAGCAGUGAUGAUGAGGGUGGUGCAGUUACCAUUAGAUUAAAUACAACAACAAAGUACAUGCUGAAUUCAUCCACUUUACACUCUGUAAAAGGAUACACGUUGUGGUAUGGAUGGCUUUAGCAGUGGCUGAGAUGCUGCUGAUACCUACAGAUCUCUGCAUUUCUUAGAUUAAAUAGUUUUGUUUAAUGGACUGGACUUAGAAACCCUUUGGUUUGGUUUGUAUGGCUGGUGCUACUUUUUUUAACACCUGUUUUUAAUUAGUGAAAUGUUUAGGAUAAGCCUUUGUUACCUAAAAGUGGAAGUUGUGCAAAGAUGAUGCAUAGAAGUUGUUACAGCAGUUUAUGUAGCCCGAGAAAAGAACACAGUUUCUUUGAAAAGCUCUUAGGAAGAUCUCCAGACCCUUUGGUUAGUGGUUCUGGAAUGAGCACGGAAUGCUGACAACGGAAAGCAAAACCAUAAUUGUGCUUAUGUGACAGUGCCAAGUAAUUGGAACGUUUAAAGUAAGUCAGGCGCAGGCUCUGCAUCCAUAUUACGUGACUUCUUUAAACAUUUAAAGAUGAUUUCUCUUUUUGAAGCAUAAAAAUAUCUUCAAAUUAUUCUGAUAUCUGUUAGGAAUAGGAAGUAUUAGAAACAUUUUGGAUUGUUUUGGAAGCAGCAAACAAAUUAUUCUGAACUUGAAAUGGGGAAUUUUGCACUAUUAUCUCCAUAUUAAGAAGGUGGUUCUUGCUUACCACAGAUACCAUUUUCUUAAGUGCUUUUCUGAAAGAUCUUUCUCACUCUUUUUCUUAAUUUGGUCUAUAACAUAAUGUAACCAAGGAAUACAAUACUCAUUAAGCUCUUGCAUAUGUUUGAUCCACGCAUCUUUUGGUUCUCUUCCCUGACUCUAAGAAUAUCUUUUCCUUUACAAAGAAUUAGACACUAGUGAUGCUUUUAGUUUCAGUCCCUUUCCAUGGGCAGGGCUGCCAACCCAGUACUACAUCAGGUAUCAGUCCAGGCUGCCCAGGGCAUCAUCCAACCCGGCCUUGAGCUCCUCCAGCAGCUUAUUUAAAUGUUUCUCACUCUUUAUCUGAAAAAAUUGCAGAAGGUUGUAUUUGGUUCACAUGCAGUCAUAUUUCAAGUUCAUUCCACUGUGUAUAUCCUAUAAAACAAAUCCUGUGCCAGUAACAUGAUAUUUUCAAUUAAGUGUAUUUUAAUUUACUAACCUUACUGUGUCUCCAUUAAUAUUACGCAGGUACUUGUCAGUGAGGACUCUGACAGUGAUGGUAUCGUGGCCCACUUCCCUGCACAUGAAAAGCCUAUAUGCUGCAUGGCUUUUAACCCUAGUGACAGCAAAAAAUGGCUGAUUGCAGGAGCAGUGGAAGAAAUGGCCGGUGAAUCAACAGCUUCCCCUGGCCAAAAUUAAUGGUUUCUAAAAUGUAGCAAAUGGCACAGGGAACUUGGGGAUGAAGUCACAUUUCAAAGAAUAAAGCUGAGUGUCUGUCA